rnacentral:rRNA from 2 species
ACAUGCAAGUCGAACGGAAAGGCCCCUUCGGGGGUACUCGAGUGGCGAACGGGUGAGUAACACGUGGCCAAUCUGCCCUGCACUUCGGGAUAAGCCUGGGAAACUGGGUCUAAUACCGGAUAGGACCUUUAGGCGCAUGUCUUUAGGUGGAAAGCUUUUGCGGUGUGGGAUGGGCCCGCGGCCUAUCAGCUUGUUGGUGGGGUGAUGGCCUACCAAGGCGACGACGGGUAGCCGGCCUGAGAGGGUGUCCGGCCACACUGGGACUGAGAUACGGCCCAGACUCCUACGGGAGGCAGCAGUGGGGAAUAUUGCACAAUGGGCGCAAGCCUGAUGCAGCGACGCCGCGUGGGGGAUGACGGCCUUCGGGUUGUAAACCUCUUUCACCAUCGACGAAGGUCCGGGUUUUCUCGGAUUGACGGUAGGUGGAGAAGAAGCACCGGCCAACUACGUGCCAGCAGCCGCGGUAAUACGUAGGGUGCGAGCGUUGUCCGGAAUUACUGGGCGUAAAGAGCUCGUAGGUGGUUUGUCGCGUUGUUCGUGAAAUCUCACGGCUUAACUGUGAGCGUGCGGGCGAUACGGGCAGACUAGAGUACUGCAGGGGAGACUGGAAUUCCUGGUGUAGCGGUGGAAUGCGCAGAUAUCAGGAGGAACACCGGUGGCGAAGGCGGGUCUCUGGGCAGUAACUGACGCUGAGGAGCGAAAGCGUGGGGAGCGAACAGGAUUAGAUACCCUGGUAGUCCACGCCGUAAACGGUGGGUACUAGGUGUGGGUUUCCUUCCUUGGGAUCCGUGCCGUAGCUAACGCAUUAAGUACCCCGCCUGGGGAGUACGGCCGCAAGGCUAAAACUCAAAGGAAUUGACGGGGGCCCGCACAAGCGGCGGAGCAUGUGGAUUAAUUCGAUGCAACGCGAAGAACCUUACCUGGGUUUGACAUGCACAGGACGCGUCUAGAGAUAGGCGUUCCCUUGUGGCCUGUGUGCAGGUGGUGCAUGGCUGUCGUCAGCUCGUGUCGUGAGAUGUUGGGUUAAGUCCCGCAACGAGCGCAACCCUUGUCUCAUGUUGCCAGCGGGUAAUGCCGGGGACUCGUGAGAGACUGCCGGGGUCAACUCGGAGGAAGGUGGGGAUGACGUCAAGUCAUCAUGCCCCUUAUGUCCAGGGCUUCACACAUGCUACAAUGGCCGGUACAAAGGGCUGCGAUGCCGCAAGGUUAAGCGAAUCCUUUUAAAGCCGGUCUCAGUUCGGAUUGGGGUCUGCAACUCGACCCCAUGAAGUCGGAGUCGCUAGUAAUCGCAGAUCAGCAACGCUGCGGUGAAUACGUUCCCGGGCCUUGUACACACCGCCCGUCACGUCAUGAAAGUCGGUAACACCCGAAGCCAGUGGCCUAACCCUUGGGAGGGAGCUGUCGAAGGUGGGAUCGGCGAUUGGGACGAAGUCGUAACAA